rnacentral:rRNA from 1 species
CCCUAUGGGGCGCGGAUCACGGCGGUUCACAACUAUUUCAGUAACGCAGCGUGCGGCCUAACGCUGCAAUGCCGCGAUGGUGCCGGGACGCUUCUGGACGGGAUUACGCUACAGUACAACGGUAACGUCGGCAUUGGCGAUUCGUUCGCGACUGCCGGUUACAAGCUCACCGUAGGAAACGGCGAUUGCUAUUUGCGCAACAGCUAUGCGGGCAAUGGCGCGACCCCACCGGUGAGGAGAUUUUUCGCGACCACCCAGAACAACGGCGCGGCGGAUUGCGCUUCGGCCGGCAUGGAAGUGGCGUUUACUUGGUUGGCGAACACUGAUUACGCGAGCGAGCUGCGGUUUUAUACGACACCGGAUAACGUGGCGGCUGAGCGCAUGCGGAUCACUGGCGCUGGCAACGUUGGAAUUGGCGGGGGGGC